UCCCUGGUGGCUCAGAUGGUAGAGUAUCUGCCUGCAAUGCUGGAGACCUGGGUCCAAUCCUAGGCUGGGAA
rnacentral:tRNA from 1 species